GAUGAAGAACGUAGCGAAAUGCGAUAAGUAAUGUGAAUUGCAGAAUUCAGUGAAUCAUCGAAUCUUUGAACGCACAUUGCGCCCGCCAGUAUUCUGGCGGGCAUGCCUGUUCGAGCGUCAUUUCAACCAUCAAGCCCUGCUUGCGUUGGGGUCCUGCGGCUGCCCGCAGGCCCUGAAAACCAGUGGCGGGCUCGCUAGUCACACCGAGCGCAGUAAUACAUCUCGCUUUGGGCGUGCGGCGGGUUCUUGCCGUUGAACACCCCCUUUUUACCAAGGUUGACCUCGGAUCAGGUAGGAAUACCCGCUGAACUUAAGCAUAUCAAUAAGCGGAGGA
rnacentral:misc_RNA from 1 species